CGAAGUGGUCCGGCGUUAGCAUCCGAGUGACUGCUUGUACGCUCGUUGUACCGGCUUUGGAUACAUUUAAGCCUGUGUCAAGGUGACAUAUCAUUAUGCCAGAAACUGAAAUAAUGGUAAAUGAUGUGCCAGUGAGGUUUCCAUUUGAACCAUAUGAAAUUCAGAAGGUCUACAUGGAAAAAGUAAUAAAAUGUCUGCAACAGGGCGUGAAUGGCGUGCUGGAGUCGCCGACCGGCACGGGCAAGACGCUGUGCCUGCUGUGCGCGGCGCUAGGCUGGGCCGAGGC